UAAGGGCCUAUCCCUCUGCAAUCUCGCUACGGUUGAGGCGUCGCGAUGCUCGUCCAAUGGGUUGGUGCUCAUCGGGAACUGUGGCAGUCCAAGGUGGCACCGCGCGACGCUGGUUUUGGAGAUGUCAUGUUCAACCAUGACAUGAAGUCCAUUGAUAUCGACAACGAGGACAAUUGGGCAGAGUGGCUGAGCCACAUUGUUGACUGAGGAGCCGGAACUCUCUCAGAGCGAGAGACUCGCCUCCUCCGUCUGUUCAUUCUGCAGUUUCGGACCACAUCCUCAAAAGUGUAUCCUCCGAAAGAAAGCCGCAGCUGCAGGUAGGAUGGCACUGAUUGCCUUGGCUGAUCUCUGUCUGCUUCUGCAAUAUAAAGCCGUGUACAUGGUGGAGGGACCAGACGGGGCAAUGGAAUGGUGCCGAAGCCUUCUCGGCUGCCGGCUGCCGAGUGCGUUAUUCUUGCGCCUUCCAAACAGCUUUACCAUUGUUUUUUUGAUUCAAUAAACUCAUAGUCCGCUGCGUUUUCAAACACAUGUUUAUCAACCCAUUGAAAAUGCUCUAGU